rnacentral:rRNA from 1 species
UAGGGAAUCUUCGGCAAUGGACGAAAGUCUGACCGAGCAACGCCGCGUGAGUGAAGAAGGUUUUCGGAUCGUAAAACUCUGUUGUUAGAGAAGAACAAGGACGUUAGUAACUGAACGUCCCCUGACGGUAUCUAACCAGAAAGCCACGGCUAACUACGUGCCAGCAGCCGCGGUAAUACGUAGGUGGCAAGCGUUGUCCGGAUUUAUUGGGCGAAAAGCGAGCGCAGGCGGUUUCUUAAGUCUGAUGUGAAAGCCCCCGGCUCAACCGGGGAGGGUCAUUGGAAACUGGGAGACUUGAGUGCAGAAGAGGAGAGUGGAAUUCCAUGUGUAGCGGUGAAAUGCGUAGAUAUAUGGAGGAACACCAGUGGCGAAGGCGGCUCUCUGGUCUGUAACUGACGCUGAGGCUCGAAAGCGUGGGGAGCAAACAGG